AUUGAACGCUGGCGGCAGGCCUAACACAUGCAAGUCGAGCGAGCGGCGGACGGGUGAGUAAUGUAUGGGGAUCUGCCCGAAAGAGGGGGAUAACUACUGGACACGGUUGCUAAUACGGCAUACUCACGGAUGAAACCAUAUGGGAUUAGCUAGUAGGUGGGGUAAAGGCUCACCUAGGCGACUAUCUCUAGCUGGUCUGAGAGGAUGAUCAGCCACACUGGGACUGAGACACGGCCCAGACUCCUACGGGAGGCAGCAGUGGGGAAUAUUGCACAAUGGGCGCAAGCCUGAUGCAGCCAUGCCGCGUGUAUGAAGAAGGCCUUAGGGUUGUAAAGUACUUUCAGCGGGGAGGCGUUACCCGCAGAAGAAGCACCGGCUAACUCCGUGCCAGCCGCCGCGGUAAUAC
rnacentral:rRNA from 1 species